UGACAAUACUUUUUUAUAAUGUAAAUUUAACAAAGGUUGCGAAGUAAAGUUUGAUUGCUUGCAGGUGACGAAAAAUACUCGAACAAUUUACAUGUUUUCAAGCAUGAAGAGAAAAUAACACACGAUUGCCUAACAAGAGGCGCACUUCGAGUGGCCUGUCUCAUGCAACGAGUGAAGGUAGUGAAGAGAUUCAUGCUUAGUUCACAAAAAAAAGAUAAGUUUGCAAGAAGGAAAGUUACAUUAUCGUCUUAGAUGAAAAAUUGCCUUAGUUUAUUGGCGAUAUUUGCAAUUUGAGUGUGUAUGCACCUCGCAUUUCGCAGUCACGAAAAAAAUGCUUUAGCCUUUCUGGUAUCGCAGUUGCUGCGAAUGAUUCAUUAUCGUAGCAACCGUUGACAUUGUGAUAUUUUUUUCACAACUUUCAAGAUGUGAGAAAAAAUGUCUAGAAAAACCUAUCGUUCUGGUGCAGAGAAAACUACUUUUCGGAAGCAAGUUGCUGUGAAGCUGGCCGCAAGACGCUUUUCUUUAUAAUUAUCUACGAGGAUCUUGUCGAGUGUGACGCGAUGGCGUGUUUAGUUAAACUGCUUGUGAUUCCUGCAAUCCAUCGGAGUAUAAUGGAUACGAAAACCACAGAACUUUUAAGGUUCAUAUCGAGGCCUUUCCACCGGGAAAUACCGCCGCAAAACGGCAUACAGCAGAAGUGCUUUUUCAGCAAAUUGGGCGCUUCCGGAAACAAAAAUGAUACGUGAAUCCUAACUGCAGAUGACUUUUCAGUAGGGUGAAAAAUCUACCGCUCUGCGCGAUUUGGCAAUUUCGGACACUCCAUUACUACGUGGUAGUAGACGAUCUCGUGAACAUCGACGUAAAAGUUCCCGGUGCAACUUUUGCUCUCGAGCUCAAGUAAUUCCAACAUGAGUAACGAAGCGAACGCAAACUAAAUGAUACGACCUACUUGUUGGAUUUUAUUCAUCCCGAUUUUCUACUGCUUCAAAUAGUUGCGAGGAAUUUUAUCUUCUAGGAUCUAAUCUUGGAUGAUCUGUUGUACCCGGUCUACCUGUUAGUGUUUCGUUAGGAAUCUUGGAAGGAAGGUAGCUAUGAUGUCGCAUACGAUCUAAUUCGUUCAGCCAGGCCGCAAUUCGGAACUCACACCUACAGUGACUACAAGAGCGUCAAUAAGGGUGUCAGCUGUUAGCUUUCGAGGAUCAGUUAGCGGAUCUGUUCAAUGCACCUAAAGUUUGCGCCAUAGCGAAAUAGAGCAAGGAGAAAAUCUACAACGUGCUAAAGUAAGCGGCUUUACGAAAUAGAAGAUGGCUGAAGUUUGGGCUAGAUCGCGCGAGUUGGGUAAGGUAUUGUUUAUGCCAAACAGUUACCUUCGAGAACUUCAGUAUUUGUUUCGGAAUCUCACAAACUGCAUUCAGUGAUGUUCGAAGGAAAAGCAGUUUGCACACAGGUAACAGAUAACCAGAGAGAAUAAAAAGUGUACAAUGUGACAAGUGUACAAGUGGAAAAAAGAUGGAUAAAACGACAGAAAACAGAGAGAUUUUAUUCUCCAUCCAACUAAAAAUCGCCAAAGCGCUACAUUCGGAAUGUGACUGCUGCCAAAAGUCGGUCUGAAAUCUGGCCGGGUUGGAAGUUUCCGGAAGAGAUAGAGAUAGACUCGGACAGCGGAGGAGGGAGAGGGAACGGUUGGAAGAACUCGGAGCGGUCGCAGAACCAGGUGGAAUUCCUGCCGGAUGACUAGCAGAACCGGCUGCACACGACCAUCAAACUAAUGAAAUAAAAUAAAUGCGAAUAAAAUUUUAAUUUAUUUUGUCA